GAUACGCGAUUUCCUGCCCACUACAAUAAUGUGUAACGCCAGUAUUUGCACAUUCAUAGACAUAAUUACAGGCAAAUGGAAACAAAUAAUGUCUGUAAGAAAGGGGGGCUAUGUUAUAUCUUCGAAUGAAGGUCUUUGUAAAUACAAAUAUUGGUGUGCCUGUGCCACUGUAGGGGCUGUACCUCGUGGGAUUGUUGAUUUUGUUAUCAAAUCGCUCAAACUCACGGUUUCUGUGAUCAUGACGUGAAUGUGAGUGAGCGAACGGUGCUUGAUUGGUAUUCUUUUUGUCGUGAGAAUCAUCUCCAAUGGAAGGAGAUCAGAAGACUUCAUCUGUGAACGUGGGCUCUCCGUCAGUCACUGGUGACUGCGCCGUGAUGACGUUGGUAGUAGGUGACACGUGUCUGGAGGUGUACUGGGCCAUGCUGCAGCUAUGUUCCAGCACGACCCCCUGAAGAGGCAAGCAGCAGCCAACUGACAACUCACGAUAUGGAGAGCUCGGUGCUGCACCACCUGCUGUCGUACAUCUAUACCCUCCAGCUUCCCCCCCCCCCCCCCUCUCCCCCGCCGCCAAGCACAGUUUCCCAGCUAUUGGUUGCUGCCGACAAAUAUGGUGUGUCAGUCCUGAAGGAAGAGUGUGAGAGACUGCAGCAGCCACAGCUGUUCUAGUGGUUAUGCAUUCCUUUGUCAGAUCCGCCUCUCGUAUAAAGGCCCGUUUGGUUUGAGAUGGGUAUAAUGCCUAAAUGGCUGCCAUCUGAUCCUCCAACAAGAAUCAGGAUCAUCCACAAUGGGACAAGUUCAGGAGACAUCAUCCGUCAACCUGGGUUCCCUGUUGGGGAUGGUGCCAUGGUGACUCUAGUGGUGGGUGAUAAACGUCAGAUAGUGCCUCGCGCCAUCUUGCAGUCGUGUUCCAGUACGACGCACUGGUGGGUGGCUGGGGCCAGGUGACAAUCCCUGAGCUGGAGGACUCGGUACUGCACUAGCUGCUGGCUUACCUGUAUACUCUCCAGGCCUCCCAGCUGCCAUACACGGCUUUCCAGUGUUUGGUCAUUGCUGAUAAGUGUGGGGUAUCUGCCCUGAAGUAGUAGUGUGAGAGGCAGUCGGCUGUGAGGACAGUGUCAGCCACAGCUGUUCUUGCAGUUAUGCACUCCUAUGUCAGUCACGGGCAGGCAACCAUCUCCUGCAUAAAGGCCUACUUAGUAGUCCCUGUGAAGGCCACACAGGGCUGGAUGAAUGUGAAGCUUUACCAGCCUCAACAUUUGAUUGCAGUGAAACUGCUGCCAUUUCAUCCACCAGAAACAACCAGGAGCCUGUCUGGAGAGGAGAAUGGAAGGAAGUUGAUGUAGGCAGUUGAAGCGGUGACAGUCGGCAAACUGUGGACGCUGUUUGUAGCAGGUGCAAACAUGAUAGGAGAGGUGGACUGUACCGUGCUACUUAGCAAUGAAGGGAUACGUGAAUGCAGUGAGGUCACCAGUGGAGAACAGAGCUGAGGUGGAUGCAAGGAUAAGCGGCACACUCCUGUGAGGAGUGAACAUGCGGCACUGGUGCAGCUGCAGCUGGCAUCCUCUGCUGACACCGAAACCAGGCGUGUGGAGGGGAGAACGCUGCGGCACUCGGAGAUUGUGUACGUUGGCUACUGUGUUGGUGGGUGCAGGGGCCAAUAGGUGGCCAGGAAGGGUUUGAGAGAGACCCCUCUAAGCAUGGCACAAGACGAGGAUAGAUGGCAGCUGAUGGUUGCAAUACUAUCAUGAAAUAUGCAGUCUGAUAAACUUCUGUGGAAUAAAUGAGAAACACUUUCUCCAUCUGUUUAACACUGUUAAAAUAAGCAACGCAAAACUCCUACAGUCAUUUGUACCCAUAUGUAUGAGGUUGGUGUGAUAAGUCUGGUAAAAAAGGGAAAAAAUGUUUUUUUCAUAAAUAACUCGCCUUACUUCUCAGCAUAGCCUCCUUUAAGGGAUAUGGUCUUGCAAAUCCUCCAGCUUUUUCAUACCACUGGAAAAAUAGGUUCCGGCAGCCUCCACAAAAUACUCAUUGACUGCCAGUAUCACUGCCUCAUUUGAUGAAUACGUCUUCCCAGCCGACACACACAUUCAGUAGGGUUGGCUACAGUCUCAGAAAUCUCAAGAAUUUUUGUUUGGCACUCUUACUGUUGUGACUCUCCGAUCGUUCAAAGUGCCGCCGCGCAGUUACGCGCAUCCUCUACAUGCGGCGCUGUCUGCCAACCGUGCAGCAGCAGCGACACCUAAGCAGCCAGCCAGCCAGCGGCCUCUAGACUCGGACUCAGUUCGGAUUUGACUGUUAAAGUGUACACAUGUCUUACUCUGUUUACUUGAUCUGUGACUUACAUGUAUUGUCGUCCUUGAAAUAUAUUUGUUAAACUUGACGUUAUAACACUUACAUUAA